UACGAAGGGGGCGAGCGUUGUUCGGAUUUACUGGGCGUAAAGGGCGCGCAGGCGGUUCUGUUUGUCGGGUGUGAAAGCCCCGGGCUUAACCUGGGAAUUGCGCUUGAAACGGCGGGACUAGAGAUCGGGAGAGGAGCGUGGAAUUCCCAGUGUAGAGGUGAAAUUCGUAGAUAUUGGGAAGAACACCGGUGGCGAAGGCGGCGCUCUGGACCGAGACUGACGCUGAGGCGCGAAAGCGUGGGGAGCAAACAGG
rnacentral:rRNA from 1 species